rnacentral:rRNA from 1 species
AACGAACGCUGGCGGCAUGCCUAACACAUGCAAGUCGAGCGAGACCUUCGGGUCUAGUGGCGCACGGGUGCGUAACGCGUGGGAAUCUGCCCUUGGGUUCGGAAUAACAGUUGGAAACGACUGCUAAUACCGGAUGAUGACGUAAGUCCAAAGAUUUAUCGCCCAGGGAUGAGCCCGCGUAGGAUUAGCUAGUUGGUGGGGUAAAGGCCUACCAAGGCGACGAUCCUUAGCUGGUCUGAGAGGAUGAUCAGCCACACUGGGACUGAGACACGGCCCAGACUCCUACGGGAGGCAGCAGUGGGGAAUAUUGGACAAUGGGCGAAAGCCUGAUCCAGCAAUGCCGCGUGAGUGAUGAAGGCCUUAGGGUUGUAAAACUCUUUUACCCGGGAUGAUAAUGACAGUACCGGGAGAAUAAGCCCCGGCUAACUCCGUG